rfam:Gossypium hirsutum cultivar TM-1 chromosome 20, whole genome shotgun sequence
UGUUAAAAACUUAAUCCAUUUUUUACGGUUAAAAAUUGAUGUGGCUAACCGUAUAGCUAGAUAGAGAUACAUGGUGUGUCACGUGUAUAUCAUGCUAACAUACAGGGACCGGUUUUUAACAGUUGAAAUGGAUGCAAUUUUUAACA